rnacentral:lncRNA from 1 species
UUUUAUGAUGCACAACCAUGAUUAAUAACCAACCAUGUUUGCACAAUCUAAUUUAAAACAGCAAAAUAUUAAGCAGAAUAAGCAGAAUAUGAGAUAAAAUGAAAAUGCAUUCUCCCCCUUUCAUAUUCUCCCACUUUCAUAAGGCUUUCAUACAAUCUUUCCCCCUUUGUGCAUUAGCAAAAAAUGUAUGCUCUAGAUAUUCAGGCUGAAAUAUC